AGAGUUCGAUCCUGGCUCAGGAUGAACGCUGGCGGCGCGCCUAACACAUGCAAGUCGAACGGCACCCACCUCCGGGUGGAAGCGAGUGGCGAACGGCUGAGUAACACGUGGAGAACCUGCCCCCUCCCCCGGGAUAGCCGCCCGAAAGGACGGGUAAUACCGGAUACCCCGGGGUGCCGCAUGGCACCCCGGCUAAAGCCCCGACGGGAGGGGAUGGCUCCGCGGCCCAUCAGGUAGACGGCGGGGUGACGGCCCACCGUGCCGACAACGGGUAGCCGGGUUGAGAGACCGACCGGCCAGAUUGGGACUGAGACACGGCCCAGACUCCUACGGGAGGCAGCAGUGGGGAAUCUUGCGCAAUGGGGGGAACCCUGACGCAGCGACGCCGCGUGCGGGACGGAGGCCUUCGGGUCGUAAACCGCUUUCAGCAGGGAAGAGUCAAGACUGUACCUGCAUAAGAAGCCCCGGCUAACUACGUGCCAGCAGCCGCGGUAAUACGUAGGGGGCGAGCGUUAUCCGGAUUCAUUGGGCGUAAAGCGCGCGUAGGCGGCCCGGCAGGCCGGGGGUCGAAGCGGGGGGCUCAACCCCCCGAAGCCCCCGGAACCUCCGCGGCUUGGGUCCGGUAGGGGAGGGUGGAACACCCGGUGUAGCGGUGGAAUGCGCAGAUAUCGGGUGGAACACCGGUGGCGAAGGCGGCCCUCUGGGCCGAGACCGACGCUGAGGCGCGAAAGCUGGGGGAGCGAACAGGAUUAGAUACCCUGGUAGUCCCAGCCGUAAACGAUGGACGCUAGGUGUGGGGGGAGAUGCCCUCCGUGCCGCAGCCAACGCAUUAAGCGUCCCGCCUGGGGAGUACGGCCGCAAGGCUAAAACUCAAAGGAAUUGACGGGGGCCCGCACAAGCAGCGGAGCAUGUGGCUUAAUUCGAAGCAACGCGAAGAACCUUACCAGGGCUUGACAUAUGGGUGAAGCGGGGGAGACCCCGUGGCCGAGAGGAGCCCAUACAGGUGGUGCAUGGCUGUCGUCAGCUCGUGUCGUGAGAUGUUGGGUUAAGUCCCGCAACGAGCGCAACCCCCGCCGCGUGUUGCCAUCGGGUGAUGCCGGGAACCCACGCGGGACCGCCGCCGUCAAGGCGGAGGAGGGCGGGGACGACGUCAAGUCAUCAUGCCCCUUAUGCCCUGGGCUGCACACGUGCUACAAUGGCCGGUACAGAGGGAUGCCACCCC
rnacentral:rRNA from 1 species